rnacentral:rRNA from 1 species
UGGAGCCAGCCGCCUAAGGUGGGACAGAUGAUUGGGGUGAAGUCGUAACAAGGUAGCCGUAUCGGAAGGUGCGGCUGGAUCACCUCCUUUCUAUGGAGA